rnacentral:rRNA from 1 species
CGCAAGCCUGACGGAGCAAUACCGCGUGAGGGACAAAGGCCUUCGGGUUGUAAACCUCUUUUAUCAAGGAGGAAAUUUUGACGUGUACUUGAUGAAUAAGCAUCGGCUAACUCCGUGCCAGCAGCCGCGGUAAGACGGAGGAUGCAAGCGUUAUCCGGAAUUAUUGGGCGUAAAGCGUCCGUAGGCGGUUCAUCAAGUCUGCCGUUAAAGACUGCAGCUCAACUGUGGGCCGGCGGUGGAAACGGAUGAACUUGAGUAUGGUAGGGGUAGAGGGAAUUCCCAGUGUAGCGGUGAAAUGCGUAGAUAUUGGGAAGAACACCAGUGGCGAAGGCGCUCUGCUGGGCCAUAACUGACGCUGAGGGACGAAAGCUAGGGGAGCG